rnacentral:rRNA from 1 species
GAUCAUGGCUCAGGAUGAACGCUAGCUACAGGCUUAACACAUGCAAGUCGAGGGGAAACGAUAUUGGAAGCUUGCUUCCGAUAGGCGUCGACCGGCGCACGGGUGAGUAACGCGUAUCCAACCUGCCCACCACUUGGGGAUAACCUUGCGAAAGUAAGACUAAUACCCGAUGAUAUCUCUAGACGACAUCUGAAAGGGAUUAAAGAUUUAUCGGUGAUGGAUGGGGAUGCGUCUGAUUAGCUUGUUGGCGGGGUAACGGCCCACCAAGGCAACGAUCAGUAGGGGGUUCUGAGAGGAAGGUCCCCCACAUUGGAACUGAGACACGGUCCAAACUCCUACGGGAGGCAGCAGUGAGGAAUAUUGGUCAAUGGGCGAGAGCCUGAACCAGCCAAGUAGCGUGCAGGACGACGGCCCUAUGGGUUGUAAACUGCUUUUAUAAGGGAAUAAAGUGAGUCUCGUGAGACUUUUUGCAUGUACCUUAUGAAUAAGGACCGGCUAAUUCCGUG